CAUACGCUGUGCUUGUCACUUGCAUUCAGUAACGUUUCAUCAAAAAUUAGUCUAAAUUCCUUUCAAAGACAUAUUUUUUUAUAGCUAUAAUAAGAAAAAGGAAUUUGUACUACCCAGGAAUCUGUCAGUAGAAGCUGAGCUGAAAAUGAUAUUUAUCUUUGUUGCAGAUAAGUCACUUAGAUAAGAACUUUUAGUGAUAAGGGGUCAUUCAGAAGGCGAAACUCUGUGCUUCAGCCUCUUCCCGGCAGACUCCUCAGGAGCAGGCUGAUAAUAAAUUGAGUUUAAGCAAUUAUCUUAACGGAAUGUUUUUCAUGUGAUGAAUUUGAAGACGGUCAUAUUUCUGCGUGGUUCUGGCUAUUGUCAGUAGUGCAGGCUGUGCUCUGUGCGUAGACCUUGAUGGGGGAACUUGGAGAUUUUAUGCGAAGAGGGGGUUUUCUUCCAAGGGGACUGUCAGCUUCAGCCUGAAGGUAGGUGCAGGAACUGUUCCGAGGGCUCUUGUGUGCUCUUACUGGUUUCUUCUGGCCUUAGACAUCAUGCUGGGGAGGAUGUUGUCAUGCUGUGGAGCCAGGCUAGCUUAUAGCAGCUGGAGUUGCUGAGAUCCAGGAGGCCUUCUGAACUCAAAAACACUGGCAUGUUUACUUUUGAUUGUCUGAUGUUCUGAUAGUCAAAAAGGGUGUUGCUUUUAUUUAAUGAGGGUAAUUACAGUGACUUGUAUGGUAAGAAAAUCUGUAAAACUGAUUUUAUUCCUUUUUCUUUUUAAAGGUAAACAUUCAAAAUUUGGGUCAUUUCAUGAUUGUAAAGGAGGCUUUUGUCUGUUGGUUGUCCUGGCAGUGUGGAAAAGUCUAUCACUUCCCCACCAGUACUUUGAGAUUUUGGUCAAUUCCUUGAUGCUAUUUGAGUAAAGAAGGCAGAAAGCAAGGACCAGGCAAAAGAGAGAUAGUCCUUGUCCUCAAAAGGAACUGAAGAUGAGAUAGAGUAAGCACGGUCUGAGAUGAGAUACAAGUGCAUGUUGACGAUUAUCUUUAUUCUUUAUGGUGGCCUAUAGGUGCUUGGGGUAGCAAGAAGUCACCUGGACUGCUUUCAGCAAUCAGCAAUUUAAGGACUUCAGGGCUGGGCUGCAUUGAUUGCACUUCUAAUAGGCACUGUUAGAACUGCUUCUCAGUUAUGCCUAAAUGUGCAUUUCUUUAGGUAUGUCCUUAUUCAGAAUCACUUUUUAAAGACCUGUCUAAUAAGAAAACAAAAGGACAAAAGCGGGUACUCAGCUGAGAUUUCACAUCUCAGAGGAGGAUGUCAAGGACUGGACCUUGUUUGUGCUGGUUCUGACUAACACCAGUACCUAAAAGUCAUGGUGAAAAUACUUAAAUGGCAGGAUGAGAUAUAGAAGUUUCCGUAUGAUCUGUCUCUAAAACCAUGGGUAAUGCUUUAGAGAGAAAUUUUCAGGCUCUGCUUUGGUCCAAAGAAUCACAAGAUGGUGGAGGUCACUUACCUGCUUUGGGGACAGACCUGCCGGGCUCAGUUUAAAAUCCAAACAGGCUUAAUGUUUAACAGCAGGGAAACAAAUCCAAAAAACAUGCAUGUCUUACUGGUGAAUUCCCUUGGUGUCCCUGUUUUUCUUCCCACCAGUGCUGAAUGCUGUGCCUUCAAUAGCUCAGAGUCAAGUGAUAAGUCAUAAUGCUGAAUGCAGAUUUACAUACGAAGUUGCCUGGGAAACUUAUGUCAUAAUAAAUGUACUCCAGACUGGUUAGUUGUCCUGUAAAAGCAAGUAGUUGAGACCAUUUUGGUUCUUGAUGCCUAAGUGGUCACGUUGCUCUGAGUAAACCAAUGUGCUAAGUGGUUAAAAACAUGCAAACCAGCAAAACUGAUUCAAAAAUCCGACUGCAGAGAUGGAGUACUGUCCUACUUGGUAGGAGCAGCCUUGACUUACUCAUCAGCAACAGAAAAACAUUGCAGGCAAAAAUGUUUAUUCUUUCCAUUUGGGAGAGCAACCACUCGGAGUGGUGGAGGUUAAAGAGAGAAACCCUCAUACCACGAGUGGGCAUCACGUCUGGAGGGAGCUGCUGGCAGUGCGGAGGACACUGAACAGAGACCUGGACUGAACAGACUGCAGUGAGUCUAAUUCCCUGCUCUCGCAGCUUGCUGUGCCAGUGUCCGUCUGGGAGUGACUGGAGCCUCAGUCAGGAGGGCGAGGAGCUGCUGGGCACCGCUGAGAGGAGAGGUGAGGGGCAGAGGUGGUGUCAGGCGGCCUUACUUGGGCUGAAACCCAGAGCAGGCCGGGUCUGAGGGGAGAGGGCUGCUGGGACGGGAACACGCAGACAGCAGCCUCACUUGUCUCACUGUGCAGAAAGGCAAACUGAGGUAACUUCCAGCCCCAACUCGACCACGAGAGGGACCAGGCACAAGCAGGGAUGCUGUCGGCCAGCUCCGUGUUUGUAUUUUCAAAGAUCACCUUUUGGUUGCGAAAACCCAGCAACCCUCUCCAGGGCCCUGCAGCAGCCACAAGUCUCCCAUCACAGCACUGGGCCUGUCGCACCCGCCCGGCCCCUCAGCGGGC